rnacentral:rRNA from 1 species
UAGGUCCAUUUUUUUGAAGCGUAGAGUAGGUGUGUGGCUUGUCGGGGCAGCUACCGCGGCCGGGGCAGCGAGGGGGCGGGACAGUGGCCGGCGCAGUGAGGGCGGCCGGGAGGGGGCGGUGGGACAGCGGCCGGGGCAGCGAGGGACGACGUCCGCGGCGGCGGCGGCGGCACAGGUUCAGCCCUCGGGACCUAGAGCGUAGCCCGGAACCGCCCUUCUAGCUGUUCCUUGUUCAGUUUAGGCGCCAGCUGCUACCCCACCGCUACCAAACCUACGCCCCUCCUCGACCCGCCCGUACCGCAGUACGUGCCGCACCACCCGCGGACCCGCCACGACGCACACGACGUUUCACCGCCGCGGUACAACGACCCUUGCCGCACCUUGUCCCGGCCGGCCGAACGGUACAUGUCCUCGGCACCGAUCUCGAGCCCGGCUACUUUGUUAGUGGCCGGUGAAACUCGGUCAUGUUCGGGGUACCGGUGCCCGUCGUCGCGCGUGCGAGUCUCUAUCCUACUUCCCAUGAAAACCGUACCAUCUUUUUUAACUGUCGAGGUAGGUGGCAACUGAUUGUCUUGUACAAACUGUUAUCUGCCAUCACGAUAGAACCAUACUUUUUGGACUUGAACUCACGAUAAAACCGUGAAGCCAAAAAGUAUCACUAUAAAACCGUGAACCCCAAAGGUGGUCACCAUAACACCGAUAAGAGAGGGCUCUUUUUCUAUCAAGGUCUAAAGUGUUUUCAGGUAAAAUGUUUAUAGAAGCAUUGACUUGACUGGUAUUAGUAAUCCACAUAUCUCCUAAAAUACCAAAGAUAAAAUAUUUAUUACUUACAUUGUUGUGAUCGCUAGAAAGUUAAAACAGCUCAUUUAGUGCAUUCUAUCUUCACACGGAUAAACAUAGUGUAUAACCUCACUUCACGACAGUGAUGGUUCAUAGUUUACGCCGAAUCCAAGUCUAUUCGAAAAGGGUUUUAAUUUUAUGAUGGUUCCCUAGUGAGGAACCGUAAAUAAAACAUAAAAAAUAAAUAUUGUGUAGAGUACGGAACGUCCUAGCUGAAGGAAGAUUUAUCACUUUAACGAAGACAACAAGUUCACUCUCUUUGUACGUCCAUAGAACUACUAGGUGAUUUAAUAAAAACCAUUUUCAAACGAAGUGUAGGUAACACAUUAUACUUCUCUUUAGUACCACAAAAAGGAAAGCAGCACACGUUUUAACAAAGGGCAGGUAAUGAAUUAAACAUCUACUUAUUAUCCCAUGAAUAAUAAACGCACGUACCUAAAGUAAGUUUAUCUUAAAAGUUUCUAUUUAAUUUACGGUAUGGAAUGAUUUGAGUCUAAUCGCGUAGGUCGUCUCUUUUCAACACAUGAAUAAGGAUUGUCAUGGUUUAUUAAAUUUAAGACUUACCAAAAGCAGUCGUUGAUAACACUCAACAGAAACGUUAAGGUGUAACAUUAAUCAAUAUUGAUCAGCCGUUGGGCGCGUAAACGUGCCCGAUCAGAUGUUAAAUGAAUAAAAUUUACUCAUGUAUUACUUUAUAUUUACAUGUAUGAUAUCUUUCAGGGAGUAAAUAAAAACAGUUUCAUGAACUGGCCGACUUUUCAUUUUGGUUUAAGAUUAUCAGUCGAGUACUCGUCUUUGUAAACAGGAAUAUCAAGUUAUCGUUGUAUAAAUAAUUCUUUAUACCAGAGCCCCCUUUAUUAAGUAAGCACAAUCAUAACUAAGUAUGAACAUCGUAGGUUUUUAAUUAACCAGAAUGGAAACGAAAGAUAGUUGUCAGGGCAACAUUUAAAGAUAAUUUAAGUAAAACACCGAAACAAAAAGGGGAAGUUAUAGUACGUCUUUUAUGUUGUAAAACGUUGAAGUCAUUCUUUUCUUUCUUGUGUAAUGAAAUUAAUACGGGAGGAACGACUAUAGAUUCGUUAUAAAUUACGUAUAACAUAUAUAGGUAGAAUAUAUUUGUUGGAGUACUGUUUCUAGACCGUUUUCCAUAACUAGGAUCCGGCUCGGAACACAUCCUUUAACCUUGUAGUGGAAGAUCCGAGAUUUGGUAGCGAACUACGUAGACCUGUGAAGAUUACAACGUUUAUUCCUGUGACUUUUGUUGACUGACUACCCGUAGAACGGUAUGUUGAAACAAAGGUAGAUGUGGUUCCAUUUUAGUCUAUCUCAGUAUGGUGAUUUUUUUAGUCCAGUCCAGCAGUAGUACCACCGUUUCGACAACAUGUACAAUCAUUGAUAUCUCCCUUUGAUGUAAUCUUAAGACUAUCCAAGUUAAGACUAUCCAGUCCAGACCAGAUCAGAUGACGGCGCUGCAGGCUGCGCUAGCGUACCCGCAACUACUACAGACCAGUUUAGUAGAAAACAAUUCUCUCCCUAAUUCGCCCAGCAACCCCUGUACAUUUUUUGUUUUUAUUAGUUAGUUACCCUAUUAUCUAGGAUUUACGUACCAGGAGACGGCAACGUUAAACAGCAAGUCACAACGUCUUGUCUGACUCGUUCGGCUACCCUAUUAUCUAGCUACUUUUUAGCAGGUCAUAACGUUAAUCAAGAAGGAUUAGGUAAAAAGGACAUUUCUUAGUUUUGUGUACCUCUCCGGUUCUAGACAGAACGGAAGAGUAUUGUCGUUAGUUAGCCUCCUCCUAGGCCGUCCGAACUGAACGGUGGCCAACUUGAACGGCGGUGGUCUAGCUCCUUUUCCACACUAACCUCUAUAAAAAGUGUAACCAGCGUUUAUCCUCCUUUUGAUGCGUUGUGUGUUUCUCCCUCUCUAGCCUCAGAGUAACAGCUCCUAUUAGACGACCAAUCUUCAAAAAAACUGCCGGAAUUGUCAAAAGGACCCCAAUUGGCAAAGACACAAAAAAAUCUAAACAAAAAACAAUAUUUUAACAUACUAAAAGAAAAGUUCCUCCAUGACCUUGUACGACAAGACCACAUGUAUUUUCAAAAAUCGGCUCUGCGUGUAUAUAUCUAACUGUGCCCUCAAAAAAGGAGAAGACAAAAUUGUUGGUAGAUUUAGAAAAAAAGAUCCUAAAAUACUCAGCUAGAUGUGGCAUUAUUAAGCCAGGGUGGUCUAAUUGCCGAGCAUUGUAGACUAAUUGCACCCUUAAAUGCCCUUCAGUUCUUAAUCAUAUCCAUAUCUAUAUCUACAGUAUGGAGCGUGGUAAAGAAAACCACGGAGAUAAAAACCACUCCAGCACUUCUUUACUUUCGAUAGUAAACAGUAUAAUGGUUUCAUACGAAUGGGCUUGUCAUGAAGGAAGCAGUAUAUAGUAGAAUGAUCGGUGUUGUUAUCGUCGAGGUUAUGUUAAUGAGAAUACGAGAUAUGUUAUUAUAUAGGAUUUACGUACCUGGUAUAAUAAGUGUCUUUCAAACCGUAAAUCUUAAUGCUUGUAGUGUAAAAUGUCACUAUAUUCCUAUCUAAAUUCACCUAGUCAGCGUGAAGAAAACAAGACCCCAAUUCCUAUCGUUCCUAUAAGAUAGCCUCUUGUCACAACAAUAACCAUCUUUUAUACUCCAUCGGUGAGUUUAAAAUAAAUCUAGUAACGUUCCUUUUGUGCAGUAAAGGGGAAGAUAACUAUCAAAGAGCUUAAUACCACUCAUAGACUAUUAGGACAAAGACAUAGAUGUCAAGAUGUGCCAUCAUCAACAUCUAUCGGUAUAAGUAAAGCGAUCUCUAUUAACCACCGGCAUACGUAUCAAGACUACGUCUCCGGCCCCAAUAUGGGAAAAAGAUUUUUUUUUAGCGAUCUCUAUUGUGUCACUAUUUGUUUGACCCUUUCGUGUACCGUCUGUGAUAAAAAAAGGAAUAUUUACAUGUGAUGAUACCUACUACAACGUAUAACUGAUAGUAUAUAAAGAUAAUACUAUAAACAAUCAGUAAUAUUUCUGUAGCUAACUUUCGAGGACCCUAUAUGAUUACAGCUACCCUAGUUUGUACAGAACGCGAUGUACGGUAUAUUAUGUUAAAGUAUGGUGUGCAGGACGUAGAAAUUGUUCAUACGCGAGAGCGGUAAUUAAAAACCUCACGUUAAACUGAGACAAUCUACGGGACCUAUAGGGUAUAAACUAGUUUUCCCUAAGGCAGGUCAAACGUGUCUUGGUAUUAGACGGGGCCUUAGUUAAAGACCAUAUUUUUACGAUGAAAUACAGAGUUAAUUGUUAUGUAAAUAACCGAAGAAGAUUGAAAGAAGAAAGGGUAAAAUGUCUAAACGAAUUCUAGUGCAUUCGAACCCAACUACCUCACGAACAUAAAUCAAAAACAAAACUGGAACACUUUGAACGAUGGAUACCUACUUUGACACAUUAUAACUACUUUGAUACAUAUACAUGCCUACUUUGAACGAUGAUAACCAUUGUACACAAUCUAUAUAUACACAAGUACUGAUAACCAUUAUACACAACUUAUACGAUAUAACCAGUAUAUUUAU